rnacentral:misc_RNA from 1 species
GAUGAAGAACGUAGCGAAAUGCGAUAAGUAAUGUGAAUUGCAGAAUUCAGUGAAUCAUCGAAUCUUUGAACGCACAUUGCGCCCGUCAGUAUUCUGGCGGGCAUGCCUGUUCGAGCGUCAUUUCAACCAUCAAGCCCCAGGCUUGUGUUGGGGACCUGCGGCUGCCGCAGGCCCUGAAAACCAGUGGCGGGCUCGCUGUCACACCGGGCGUAGUAGAUUUUAUCUCGCUCAGGGCGUGCUGCGGGUUCCGGCCGUUAAAAAGCCUUUUUUACCCAAGGUUGACCUCGGAUCAGGUAGGAAGACCCGCUGAACUUAAGCAUAUCAAUAAGCGGAGGA